rnacentral:rRNA from 1 species
CACGUAGGGAGCGAGCGUUGUCCGGAUUCAUUGGGCGUAAAGCGCGCGUAGGCGGUCGUGCAAGUCGGUCGUGAAAUCCCGGGGCUCAACCCCGUGAACCGCGUCCGAUACUGCACGACUGGAGGCGGGUAGGGGAGAUCGGAAUUCCUGGUGUAGCGGUGAAAUGCGCAGAUAUCAGGAGGAACACCGGUGGCGAAGGCGGAUCUCUGGGCCCGUCCUGACGCUGAGGCGCGAAAGCUAGGGGAGCGAACAGGAUUAGAUACCCCCGUAGUCC